rnacentral:rRNA from 1 species
GACGCAGUAGGAUAGGCGAAGCGUGCUGUUGGAGUGCACGUCCAAGCAGUGAGAUUGAGUGUUAGGCAAAUCCGGCACUCUUAAGAUUGAGCUGUGAUGGGGAGAGGAACUUGUUCCUCGAGUCGUUGAUUUCACACUGCCGAGAAAAGCCUCUAGCUAGAAUAACGGUGCCCGUACCGCAAACCGACACAGGUAGUCAAGAUGAGAAUUCUAAGGUGAGCGAGCGAACUCUCGUUAAGGAACUCGGCAAAAUGACCCCGUAACUUCGGGAGAAGGGGUGCUCUUUGAGGUUCACGCUUCGAAGAGCCGCAGUGAAUAGGCCCAAGCGACUGUUUAUCAAAAACACAGGUCUCUGCUAAACCGUAAGGUGACGUAUAGGGGCUGACGCCUGCCCGGUGCUGGAAGGUUAAGAGGAGUGGUUAGCGCAAGCGAAGCUACGAAUCGAAGCCCCAGUAAACGGCGGCCGUAACUAUAACGGUCCUAAGGUAGCGAAAUUCCUUGUCGGGUAAGUUCCGACCCGCACGAAAGGCGUAACGAUUUGGGCACUGUCUCAACGAGAGACUCGGUGAAAUCAUAGUACCGGUGAAGAUGCCGGUUACCCGCGACAGGACGGAAAGACCCCGUGGAGCUUUACUGUAGCCUGAUAUUGAAAUUCGGUACAGUUUGUACAGGAUAGGUAGGAGCCUUAGAAGCGUGAGCGCUAGCUUACGUGGAGGCAU